UACGAAGGGUGCAAGCGUUAAUCGGAAUUACUGGGCGUAAAGCGUGCGUAGGCGGUUUGUUAAGUCUGCUGUGAAAUCCCCGGGCUCAACCUGGGAAUGGCAGUGGAUACUGGCAAGCUAGAGUGUGUCAGAGGAUGGUGGAAUUCCCGGUGUAGCGGUGAAAUGCGUAGAGAUCGGGAGGAACAUCAGUGGCGAAGGCGGCCAUCUGGGACAACACUGACGCUCAUGGCAACGAAAAGCGUGGGGGAGCAAACAGG
rnacentral:rRNA from 1 species